CCCUCCCUCUCUUUCUCUCUCUCCCUCUCCCUCUCCCUCUCCCUCUCUCUCUCUCUCUCUCUCUCUCUCUCUCUCUCUCUCUCUCGCUAUCUCGCUCGCAGCUACUCCCAGGAUCUGUACACACACGCACACACAUGUACUCAAACACACACACACACACACACACACACACAUACUCAAACACUGUGCUGACAGCUAUUCACUGACGAAACAAACUCAAGCUACAACAAACAGAUCUCAUCAUCAUUCUGUGCAACAGCCAAACAACACAAUUCCACCUACACACUCACACACAGGUGAACACAACACAAAACAGAAAAUAACAACACACUUUUGCCUACACACUCACACACAGGUGAACACAACACAACACACAAAUAACAACACACUUUUGCCUACACACUCACACACAGGUGAACACAACACAACACACAAAUAACAACACACUUUUGCCUACACACUCACACAAAGCUGAACACAACACAACACAACACAACACACAAAUCUAGCUGUCCAUAGCAAACAUGACCACGUCCACCGCACGUAGUAUUCACAUAACAUAUACUCAUGCAGCAACACAACAAAACAAACAACAAACAAAAACAAAAGCCCUCCAGUGAACAGCAUCAUAACACAUCUUCACUGCUACAGAAAUACUUCUCACAUACAACAUAUGCCACAUUAUCAGUACACAACAAAUUGACUAUUAGCACUAUCGACUAAUAACACAAUACUCUUAAUCAGUAGCUGGUACACUAUUUUCUCCAAUCAGAAGCCCUCAGCACACAACAUUUUCCAAUCAAAAGUGAGUGGAGCAUUCUCCAAUCAGAAACCAGUAGAACACACCAUUCUCCAAUCAGAAAUCAGUAGAACGCAUCAUUCUCCAAUCAGAAACCAGUAGAACACACCAUUCUCCAAUCAGAAACCAAUAGAAUAUAUCAUUCUCAAAGUGGAAACCAGUUGAACACAACAUUCUCCAAUGAGAAACCAGUGUAAUAAAACAUUCUCCAAUCAGGAACUAGAGGAACACA
ensembl:lncRNA